rnacentral:precursor_RNA from 13 species
ACCCCGCGCGUCCUCGACAGUCUUUGCUACUGUAAACAUCCUUGACUGGAAGCUGGAAGGUGCCGAAGGAGCUUUCAGUCGGAUGUUUACAGCGGCAGGCUGCCACAGUCGGCCCGACCCGCC